GUCUCCCUUCAGUCUGUGUGCCUUUGAACACAGCCGUGGGAAGCUGUGAUGCCUGGGCCAGGACAACUCUGGGAAUUCUGAGGGGAAAAUUACAUGAGUUGGAGAAGUUGAGCCGCUACGUCGACCGCACCUGCAACAGCCUACCUCUGGAUUUCCUGUGUGCGAGGACUCUCAUCAACAGAUGUACAUGGCACACUAAAAUCAUCCAAUACUAGUCCUGGGGUUGAAGCUCUAAACUCAGGAAGUAAAACGGGUCGUUCCUAAUCACAGUACAAAGCAGAUGACGCAAGCUGAGAUAAAACACAAAGAGAUUAAGUUCGAGAGAGCUAAAGCACCACAUAAACAGAGAUCAAAAAAACAAAAAACAGUCCCUGGAAUAGCAACUCCGUAGGAAGCCAGAGUGUGGAAGGUAUAAAAGGGAAAGAACAGUCUCCUUCCAGAUAUUGGAAUAAAGACUCUGUAUUUAAGAAGACACCGAGCAAGAACGUUAGCAGUCGCCUCCUAAAGUGGGGUCUUGCCUGCAGUCAAGAACCUACUCCCAUCUUCUCUCAACUCUGCAUUCAGGGACAUCACAUGAACCGCCCACUUGAGAAAUCAGCCACGAUGAGAGUAUUUACACCACGGAAACU